AGGAAUAUUGGUCAAUGGGCGAGAGCCUGAACCAGCCAAGUAGCGUGAGGGAAGACUGCCCUAUGGGUUGUAAACCUCUUUUGUGCGGGGAUAAAGUGUGGGACGUGUCCCAUAUUGCAGGUACCGCACGAAUAAGGACCGGCUAAUUCCGUGCCAGCAGCCGCGGUAAUACGGAAGGUCCGGGCGUUAUCCGGAUUUAUUGGGUUUAAAGGGAGCGCAGGCCGUCCUUUAAGCGUGCUGUGAAAUGCCGCGGCUCAACCGUGGCACUGCAGCGCGAACUGGAGGACUUGAGUACGCACGAGGUAGGCGGAAUUCGUGGUGUAGCGGUGAAAUGCUUAGAUAUCACGAAGAACUCCGAUUGCGAAGGCAGCUUACCGGAGCGCAACUGACGCUGAGGCUCGAAAGCGCGGGUAUCGAACAGGAUUAGAUACCCUGGUAGUCCGCGCGGUAAACGAUGGAUGCCCGCCGUUGGGAUUUUGAUUUCAGCGGCCAAGCGAAAGCGUUAAGCAUCCCACCUGGGGAGUACGCCGGCAACGGUGAAACUCAAAGGAAUUGACGGGGGCCCGCACAAGCGGAGGAACAUGUGGUUUAAUUCGAUGAUACGCGAGGAACCUUACCCGGGCUUGAAUUGCAGGAGAACGAUCCAGAGAUGGUGAGGCCCUUCGGGGCUCCUGUGAAGGUGCUGCAUGGUUGUCGUCAGCUCGUGCCGUGAGGUGUCGGCUCAAGUGCCAUAACGAGCGCAACCCCUGUCCAUAGUUGCCAUCAGGUCGUGCUGGGCACUCUGUGGAGACUGCCGCCGUAAGGUGUGAGGAAGGUGGGGAUGACGUCAAAUCAGCACGGCCCUUACGUCCGGGGCUACACACGUGUUACAAUGGGGCAUACAGCGAGUUGGAUGUGCGCAAGUACGUCCGGAUCAAUAAAGUGCCUCUCAGUUCGGACUGGGGUCUGCAACCCGACCCCACGAAGCUGGAUUCGCUAGUAAUCGCGCAUCAGCCACGGCGCGGUGAAUACGUUCCCG
rnacentral:rRNA from 1 species